GGCGAACGGGUGAGUAACACGUGGGCAAUCUGCCCUUCACUCUGGGACAAGCCCUGGAAACGGGGUCUAAUACCGGAUACGAGACGGGGAGGCAUCUCCUUGUCUGGAAAGCUCCGGCGGUGAAGGAUGAGCCCGCGGCCUAUCAGCUUGUUGGUGGGGUAAUGGCCUACCAAGGCGACGACGGGUAGCCGGCCUGAGAGGGCGACCGGCCACACUGGGACUGAGACACGGCCCAGACUCCUACGGGAGGCAGCAGUGGGGAAUAUUGCACAAUGGGCGAAAGCCUGAUGCAGCGACGCCGCGUGAGGGAUGACGGCCUUCGGGUUGUAAACCUCUUUCAGCAGGGAAGAAGCGAAAGUGACGGUACCUGCAGAAGAAGCGCCGGCUAACUACGUGCCAGCAGCCGCGGUAAUACGUAGGGCGCAAGCGUUGUCCGGAAUUAUUGGGCGUAAAGAGCUCGUAGGCGGCUUGUCACGUCGGGUGUGAAAGCCCGGGGCUUAACCCCGGGUCUGCAUCCGAUACGGGCAGGCUAGAGUGUGGUA
rnacentral:rRNA from 2 species